AUACACGUGGUAUCUGGAGAAUGGUUGAUCGUAGAUAAGCAUUUUGCUAUCUUAAAACAGUAUAUAAAUUCAGAUUGAAAUGUUUUAAAAUAGAUUUCACAAAUCUAAUUUCUAUCAUUUUCUUCGGCCUAUCAUUUUUUUAUUAUUGGAUGACACGAAGGGACUUUCUUUUACUACUCUAAUUCCAAAAUAUUUGAAAUUUUGGAAAAUAAUAGCACACGCAAAAAAUAGUGAAAAAUAUGCCUGAGAAAUCUAUAUUAAUAAGAAAAGAAAUAUAUAUUAGUAAAGUUAUAUCGUGUUUGUUUUUCAGUAUGAAGAUGUAGUCUCCGGCUUGGACAAGAAGGUUACGAAUGAUGCCAUAGAGAACUGUAGAAGCACAGGCGAAGCCAAGAAAUUUUUAUAAUGGGUGCACAACAUUAAAGCCAGGAAAUUUCAUUCGACUUCAUAGAAUUAUCUUCAGUAUUUUCAUUGUCGAUAAAUAUCUUUUAAUAUUUGCAACUGAUAAAGUUAAAAUCAACUUCAAAAAUCUAUAAACCAAAAUUAAAGAUUAUUAAGUAAUAAACUAUUUUUUCAUCGUCGAGAUAAAUUUAGUUAAAACUGAAAACGUAACAUAAUUCAAACGUGCAAUCUACCAAAAACAUGAUUAAUGAAACAUAUAUAAAUUACAAACAUGUAAAACCUGCAAACCAUCAAGAAUAAAAGAGUAAAGCCACUUCUAUGAAUUUUGGACUUUUACUGAAUCAAAAACUUAGAUGCUAUUUAAAUAAUUACUAAUCGUAAACAUUAUUUAGAACGACUCAAAGCAUUAACAUAUAGAUUAUUAAAUUAGUUACCAGUUUUGUAUGGUAGACAAGAGAAUAAAACUUUGUCAAUUUGAUUUGAUGGUUUACACUUGCAUGUUUAAGAAGAAAAGCUUAAGCUAUUAAAUUUUUUGAACGAAUUGUUAGGAUUUUAACAAAAAAAAGAGAGAAUAGAAUUGGGCUUUAAAGCUAAUUUUAAUUUUUGAUGAGGUAAAUUAUUUUUAAUUUUCUUUUCAUUUGGGCUUAAUGUAAAUUUUAGUGGGUGCACUACCAUGAAUUAUAGUGGAUGCACAUUUAAAAUUCCUUAACAAUUACAUUAAUUUUUUAAAAAAAUUAUGGGUGCAUGUGCACCCCUUCCCUACUGAGUGGCUUCGCCCCUGUGUAGAAGAGUUGGCAAAAGCUAGAAUCAGCUGAAGAUGCUCAACAUCUAUAGUGCCCAGUUUGUCUAUAAUUAUUUUUAAAACGAGAUUUACACUAGAUCCAAAAUCACAAAAUAUUUCCUUAAAUUCAACUCAUGCGAUGGAAUAUGGAAGACAAACUUUUUCUGGUCAUCAAUCUUAGGCAAUAAUUUUUUUCUUGAUACACUUCAGAGUUUGGAUAGAUAUAUGUAUAAGAGAAUUAAAUAGGACCUGUAAUUAUUUUGUAAUUUAUAAUGAAAACAUAUUUUUCUGUGUACAAUAAGAAAAAAAAUCAUAUUUAAGAAAAGCGAAUUACUCCAUCUGUUUCAGAAAGAAAUGUAUUUUAAGAUUUUCACACUUAUUACAAAAAUAUAUUAAAUUUUAGUUAUCAAUACAUUAUUUUUCGUAGUUAACUAUUCUCCACAACUUUUAACUAAUAUAAUUUUAAUAAACACAAUUAUAUAUUAUAAAUUUUAUAAUUCAUAAUUAAUUUAUGCAUUGAAACUGUGAAAAGAUAUUUUUUGAAACGAAUUUUUUUUUUAAACAUGACUCUUUUGGAAACGAAGAAAAUAUUAGUUUGCAUUCAUAGUUUUCACAUCUAUACAUAAAAUUGUUUGCGAGAUUGGACAUAUGUUUUGGAGUUGGUCGCUAUUUAAAACCGAAAUUGAGAGACUGGAUUGUAAUGAUAUUCCUCAAAAUGAACAAAAGAGAAGUAUUCUCAAAAUGAAUAAAAGAGAAGUAUUCGAGUAUAUCCAUAAGUAAUAGUAUAAUACAACAAUCUAUUUUUUAAUAUAUCUGAUCACAUGUGUAGACAUCACAUCGCACAUGCCUCCCACGUUGUUAGUUGUUACAAUGUGCAAGGUUGGGAAGGUGAAUCUCUUUGGAACCUCGGAAGUUGGAUAGACGCUAAAUCAGAAAUAUCACAAAACUGCCCAUUAUUUUAUCUAAGUAUACAAUAAGAUUAUUGUAAGGUUAUCUUUACGUGGCAAACAAAAACUGACUGGAUUAAAAAAAUCUUUUUCAAUAUUCAUAAUAUAUUUACAGCAUUUAUUUUUAAUCAGAUUUUAAGUAAUUUAAUGAACUUUGUAUAUUUCUCUCUUUCUCAUUCCUCUGCCUUCUCUCUUGGUUUCCUUCGACUGAUUUCACCGUUUCACCGACUCCGGCUGCUUCCAUAGAGCCGGAGUCGAUCUUGAUUUGUAUUAUCGAUCUUUAUAGGCAGAGUGGUUUGUGUUCUUCUCCUUUCAUAUUGGAUUUUGUUUGAAAUCUUGGGUUGAUUUGAAUGAGUUUGCAUGUCGAUUUUGAGCUCUCUUUGGCUCACAUCUGGGCUCGAUCUUAAGCUAUCUUGAUCUAUCGGGAUAGUUUGUACCGGUCUGUGAGUUUGUCUUGCUCCUUGUCAUCAACUUUAAGAUUUGAUCGAGAUCUUCCCUUCCAUAUGGCUUCAGUUAUGGCGUUUCGUGGUAUCUUCUCCGUCAUCGUCUUUCCGGUUGAAGACUUAUGAAUUGAAAUUGCUCUGUCUCCUGGAUAUGAAGCUUUGUUCUCUAAUUCGUCUGGGCUAUUCAUCAUAGGAGGAGUCACAAGCUGGAGGUUUAUAGUCAUAGAUGACUUCCUCGCCUUGUCUCGUUUUCAAAGAAGCUCUAUCAAAUCUGCAUGCUAUCUUAUUAUGUGUUUUGUAAAGGUUUUUUUUAAUAUGUCACUCUUGCCUUCUAGUUCAGAUCGAUUAGCUUAGUUCUAUGUUUUGUAUCUUUGUUUAAUCCUUGUUUCCCUUGUGUGGGCUUCUAUUUCCGAGAAUCUUUGUUUGGUUCGUCGGCCUCUGUUUCCGAGAAAUUUUGGUUCGUCGGCCUCUGUUUCUACCGGAAUUCGUGGAAUCUCCGGCUUAUGUAACUGGAUUAUAAUGAAUAUAACUAGUGUUUAAAAAAAAUGAACUUCGUAUAAAAACUAUAGCUUCUAUCGUUUUACUUUGAUACUAGGUAACUUUUCCGUACUCAUGUACGUGAUAUAAAUAUUUAUAAAGUAAAUAUAUUAUAAUAAAUUAUUAAUUUGUUGUUUUUAAUUUUUAAUUAUUAUGUUAUUUAUAUUGUAAACAAAAUGCACUGCUUAUUUUAAAUAAAAUUAUAUUAUUUUAGUUAGUCAAUUAGACAUAUAAUUUUGGAUAUAUAAUAUUUUAACUGUUUGGUUAUUAUUUGGAUAUAUUAGAUGACAUUUACUUUUCCGAUUCAACUAAAAUAUUUUUGUUACACAAAUUAAAAUUUUGAUUAAUUUUGUUAUUUCAUGUAGUUUGAUUCUUGUCUUAGAUUUGUAAAUAUAUUUUAGUAAGAGUACUUAAUUGUAAUAGUUGGUUAAUAUAUUUAUGAUAUUAUUUGAGAAUUUCAUAUUUAUUUAGGAAUAUGUUGAGUCGUUCCAUAAUAUAUAUGUACAAAAUAUUUUAUAAAUAAAAUAUAUAAUUUUUAUUUAAUGUUUGACUUUGUACAAAUUUUUUGGAUUGGCCUAGUUACUCAUUUUGUGGGUAUAUUGUGUUACAUAUAUUCUAUCAAAUUCAACUAUAACUAUUUUUAAUCUUAUUCAACCAAAUUGUAUUAAUUUUAUUCAUUGUAUUAGUUUGGUUUUUCAUAUUAGAUGUGUAAAUAUAUUUUUUAUUUCUUAGUAAUUUGUAUAUGUUAAUUUGCAAAAAUAAAAUUUUAAAAAUAAAGUGAUGAUAGGUACAAAGUUGCAUAAAAACAUAACCGAUAAAUUUUAAAAGGGAAGAUUAAUUAUUUACUUUAAUAUCAAGUUUAUUUUUCUAAUCUUUCCUUUUUAUGACAUCAUAUUGGGUAUAAAAAUAAACCUAUUCCUUUGGAAGAUUGUGCAAGUAGUGUUUCAACCAGCAAUUUCACAUGUUUCUUCAUUGUUCUCAUGUUUCAACCAACAAUGUUCUCGAUGAUGAUGAUAUGUGAAGCUACUCCCUUCAAGUAGUGUCUAAACCUACAAAGUAGAGGCCUACUAAAUAAUAAUUCAUGUCAACAUUGUGGAAGAUCAGAAUCAGCAAUUUCACAUGUUUCUUCAUUGCCCUCUCUCGAUGAUGAUGAUAUGUGAAGCUACUCCCUUCAAGUAGUGUUUCAACCAACAAUGUUCUCCACCUUGAAGCGGCUCUUAGUUUUGGUUUUACACUCACUGGACUACUUUUGACUAGUGUUAUCUUUUCAUUGACAUUCUAUGGAUUUGUUGAUGAAUUUGGACAGAACGGCGAUAAAUAAAUUACUGUUUGAAAACAUAAGCUUCUCAUUUGACAAAAUCCUAGCAGCAUUUGAAAUGCCUGGGAAUGGUGGGAUGCACAACCAUUGAAGCCGACCUCUAACGUAAACCAGAAACCCCGCCCCUUGAUCCAUGUGAUAGAUGAUGAUAUUCUCUGUUUUAAGCAUCGUAGAGAGCAUCUGACAAUGUUGCAGGUUGUGGAUAGAUUUUUUUAGGGUCAUAAGAGAUUUCAGGAACAAAAGGAUCAUGUCUCGUUAACUUUGUUGCAUCCCCUCUUGCGGCAAAAGCUUUAACAGGCUAUGCAGCUUAUUGCAUGCUUUAGAGCUGGAUGUGUCAAAAAUUUGUAUAUUAUCAGAUUGUUAGAUGUUUGUUUAAAUAAUUAACUCGUUGUGUCAUCUAAUGGAGAUCUACGAAAUUAUUCGGGACAUCAAAAUCCUAUCUUUUCGCUUCGUUUUGUCUCUUUAUUUUUUAUUCCAAAAAUUUUAAAGAUUGUUGUUGAUGCCAUUGCAAAUAGUGUCAGAUGUUCUACAAAUUCACACAUGGCCUAAUUUAUUGGAUUUUUGGGAGCUUACUUUGAUGUAAUUGGUGUUGAGAAAAAAAUAUAAUAAAGUUAAAUUUUUUAUGGUGUUUCAAAAAAAGAAGUAACGAUUUGAAAGGUGAUUAUUUUUUUUUUGUUAAAGGAGGACCCUUGUUUUAUUAUUACUACUGUUGUAUGCGACCCUUGUUUUAUUGUUAUUUUGAUUUUGUAUGACGCUAAAAUAAUUAUAAGUACACCCAUGAUGCAUGUAUAAGCACGUUUUGCUAUCAAAUAAACAAAGACAGAAGGGAAGACCUUUGACAAAAAAAGAACGAAAAAAUAGACGGGAAAGGGGACUUAUUUGGUUAGUUGAAGAUGACUUCUUUAAGAAAGAGUAAAGAUAAAAACAAUGACAACCCCUACUAAAAUAAAAUUAUUUAUUCAUAUGAUUUUAUAAUCAUUGUAUCUUAUUAUUAGAAAAAAAUUUAAACCUUCAUCAUAAAAGUUUAUGUGAAACUUUAACAGAUUUAGUAAUUUAUAUUUGUUUUGAAAAAUUCAAAAUACAACAUAUACAAGAAAUCUAUAUUUUUAUAUAAUUAAUGUGAUUGUGUAAUUUAUUUUACUAAUAAAUAAUUAAAAAAAAUGAUA